UAAUUCCAAAGUUUACAUGGAAAAGCAAAGGAACUAUUAUGUGGAAAGGCAGAAAACCUAAAAUAGCCAACACAAUAUUCAAGAAGAACAAAAUGGAAGGACUCAUACUGCUUUCAACUUACUUCAGACAAAAUGAAUCUAAGGAAUUAAAGAUAAUUGUCACAAGUUUUCAAGUAUCAGCUAACAUAACCUCAAGCUACAUAAAUAAAAAACAAUGAGUGAAUGAACUAUAACUACAUACUCGAAAUAUACUCGAAUCCAGAUACAAGAGUAUGUAUAAUACCCAGAACUAAUCUAAUGUGUUAAGUCAGAACAGUGACCAUCCCUACAGGGAAAGGAGGUAGGUGACUGGAAAUGGGCAAUGAGAGGGGUUUCUAGGGUACUCUUUAUCCUUCCGGAUGAGUUCCAUCUGUAAAAAUUCUUCAAACUAUACAUUUAGGAUGUGUAUAGUAUGUACUUAAAAUGAAAGUUUUUUUAAAAAAAUAUUUAUAACCAGGAAUUAAAACACGAAGAUUCAAUAGAAUUUUUAAAAAGAAAAGAGGAAUUCCCAUUGUGGCUCAGCAGGUUAAGAGCCUGACAUUGUCUCUGUGAGGAUGUGGGUUCAAUUCCUGGCCUCACUCAAUGGGUUAAGGAUAUGAUAUGGCCUCAAGCUGUGGUGUAGGUCACAGGUGUUGCCUGGAUCCACCAUUGCUGUGGCUCUAGUUGUGGGCCGGCAGCUACACUUCAAUUCCACCCCUAAUGUGGAAACUUCCAUGUGCCACAGGUGGGUGGGGGGUGGGUGGAGAGAGAGAGAGGGAGAAAGAGAGAGAGGGAGGAAGGAAGGAAUCACUGUCCCUAAGUAGACAAGUGUGACAUUUUGUGGGUAAGUACUCAUGUCCAAAUACCUUGCUGCUUCAGCUAAGGUCAUUAAGGAAGGCCUCUCUGAGGAGCUCACUUCUGAACUGAGACCUAAAUGACAAGAAGGAAGCAGCCACAUAAGUAAGAAUAUAAGAAAGAGUUCCCCAAGGAGAAGAGCAAGUGCCAAGGUCCUAAGACGGGAACAAGUUUAGCCUAUUCAGUGGACAGCAGGGCAGUGUGGCCGGAGCUUGGAGAAGGAGCAGAAAAUGGAGGGACAUGAAGUCAGACAGUAAGCAGAAGCAUUCAGGUUCUUGUGUGGGUACUUUUUAUUCCACCAACCUCUGAAGUGAGAGGCAUUGGGACUUUGCAGCCACUCCCCUAGUAAUCAUAUACACACUAGAACUGCAAAUGUGUAAGUGCAGCUCAGACCUUUUUCAACUCUAGGCUCCAAUAUUCAACUGUCUACUUAACAACUCUACUUGCAUGUCUACUUCCAGGAAGUUCCUCACUUUGACAUGACCAAAACCAGGCUCCAGAUCAUCCUCCCAAACCUGCUCCUCCUACAGUUUUUCCCAUCUCAGUAUACGGCACACCCAUCCGUCCAGCUGCCUUAGGAUAAAAAGCUUAAGAGCCAAACUUGCCUCUGCUUUCUCUCCCAUACCCUGUAUGCAAAAUGCAAGUUCUAUCAGUUCUACCUGAAAAAUGCAUCUAAAAUCUGGCCACUUUUUAUGCGUCCAUUCCUGCCACCACAGCACCAUCCUCUCUCACUAUACUAUUACCUACGCUCCUACAUUCUUUUCCUGAUUUUGUCUUUGCCUCCUCCCCUCUACAUCAAUUCUCAACAUAGCAGCCAGUGGUCCUUUUGUAAUUGGUCAGAUGAUGCCACUAAAGCCCUCUGGAGACUUACAAUAUGACUCUGAAUUAAAGUCGAAAUUUUAGUCUACAAGGCUGGGAACAAUGUGACCCUCCAUUUCCUUCAGGAUCCCCCCUUCUAUCCUCCUCCUUCCUCUCCAUUCCAGCCACUGGGCCUCCCUGUUGCACUUCAAACACAAGGGGCAUGCUUCUGCCUAAAAGCCUUCACAUUUGCUAACCCUUUGCCUGGAGAUUUCUUCUCCAAAUAUCUGCACGUUUACUCUCACCAACUACAGCUCAUUGCUCAAAUGUCACAUUUUUGGUGAGAACAUCACUGACAAUUAACUUAUAAACCCUCUCCUCCUACUUAUUUUACUUAUGUCUUUGUGUCUCAUCUCUCUCUUUCCAUCAGAAUAAAGAUGCAGGAAGGCAGAAGUUUGUAUCUCUAUCCUGCCAUAUCCCCAGAGCCUGAACAGGGUUUAAUACACAUAAUUAAUAUCUGCUGAAUGAAUGAAAUGAAUGAGAUCAUAUAAUCCAGGUAAAACAAGUGGGAUCUCAUUCAGAUGCAAUUUAGGAAGAAUAAUGUUUUAUGCUAAAGAAUGGUCACUAUGGAGGAAAACCGUUUCAAGAAUGGACACAGUGAACAGUUACAUAGUUAUCUGUCAUCCACAGAAAGAUUAUGGUAGCUUUCAUAAGCACUGUAGCAAAAGGCAAAACCUGUCAGAUACAAAAUCUGAAAGGCUACUAAUUAACUAAACAUAUAGGCAGGGGAGAGACAAUAGCAUGCUUAAAGCCCAGUAGCAACAUAGCACAUAAUAUACCUAAGGAACUAAAAGAAAGCCAGUAUACUUGCCCUACAGAGAGAAAAAAGGAAAAAGUAAUAUAAAGAUGAAGACUAAAAAGCAAAUAGCCAGACUGCAAAUUCUUGCUGGCAGUGUUAAAGACUAAAGAUACCCACACUAAGAGUACGAUAAAAUGCUCUAUAGGAAUCAGGUGGCACAACUACAUCUGUGAUUUUUAAAGAUCCCUCUUGACUAGACUGUGGGAGAACAGGUUGGAAGAAGGCAAGAGUGGAUGCAAGAAAAACCGUUAAGAAGCCAAAAGAGGAGUAUAAGCAGAAGAUAGCAGACUGGGAAGGUGAUAGUAGAAAAAGAAAGAAGUAGAUUAUUUGAAAAAUAUUUAGGAGAUAAGAGUUACAGGAUUUGAUGAUGAAAUGAAUACAGGGAAAGAAGGUAACAAAAAUAAUUGCCGUUUCUACCUUAAACCACUGAAUGCACCUAGAGAAGAAACACCGAUAUUGAGAGAGACAAUCUGCCAGGAGUCCUGAGCAGCCCCACGCACAGGCUGGCAGGGUGUACCAAGGAGGCAGGGCCUUUUUACCCAGGCCACUUCUCAGGGCUGUGUCUGCAGCAAGCAACCCUGAAGGAGGGUGUAGUGUCUCCCUAUGGGAAAAAAAGCAGGCUCAUUUCUGCUUGCGAGAAAAAACAGUCAACUCUCACAAACUCAAAUCUCCUUUCCUGUAGCACAACCCCCGUAUGUGUAGGAAUCCCAAGAUGGGCACUUUGGCAAUUAGCACCAAAGAUGCAAAACUGCACUGAAGAAUUUCAAAGGUAGUGUGAUAAAAUAUCAUAAAUGUUACAUCAUAUACUCUUUCACAAAGCAAUUUCACCUCUAGUAAGCUGUCUUACAAAACAUACAAAAAAAUUUAUUCAUGUGCCUGCAAAUAGGGAUGUAGAAGUGUUAAUUACAGCAAUAUGUGUAAAAGCACAAAGUAGGAAAAUAGUGUUCAUCAACUGGAAACCAGUUAACUACAGAGCAUUUAAAUUACAAAAUCUUAUGUAAUCAUUACACAUCAACUAAAAUGCAAAGACCAUCUAGACACUUGUAAGUGUAAUGCAACCCCACUUAUGUUUAAAAAUUCUAUUGUGUUUAUGUUCAAAUAUUGUCAAAAAUUCAUAAAAGAAAAACCAGGAAUGUUAAACAAUGAAAACAGUAUCUCUGAAAAGAUACUGUGCUUUUUGGUUGGGAGAUAAAUGGUAAAAGAGGACUUUCAUAUUUUACUCCUACACUUCUAUACUGCUUAAUCAGUUUCCAAGAGAAUGUUCUCAGAUUUUUUUUGUCAUAUUUCUUAUGUAAAUUAAACAAAUAAACAACAAAACUUGUAUAAGGUUAUACAUCCAGAUGGUGACAGAACUGGCAUUUGAUUUCAAGUAUGUUUUCACUAAGUAAACAUUAAAAAUUUUCACUACGUACACACUAUAUGUGACAUUGUGAUUUAUAAGAAAUGCGCUGGAGUUCCCACCGUGGUGCAAUAGCUCGGGAUGCUGUGGAGAUGCAGGUUUGAUCUCUUGCCCAGUGCAGUAGGUUAAAGAAUUUGGCGUUGCCUUAGCUGUGGCACCGCAGUUAGCAUUCAAUCCCUGGCCUAGGAACUUCCAUAUACUAUGAGUGCAGCCUUUAAAAAAAAAAAAAAAAAAGAAAUGUGUAUUUGGUCUAGUCCAUUGUUCCACCACACAACUCCUAAAACCUUUGUUACUUUGUUUAUGAACCUUAGAAGCAUCUUUUGUUAUAUUUAGAUGCGUUACCAGUUUCCAAAACAGCUCCAAAGAAAAAGAUGAAAUUGAUGUCUUUUAUUAUUCAUAACAAGCCCCUUCAAUCAAAUCUGAGUUAAUGAAGUGACUUUUGGAAAGUCCCUAAUAAUGAAGGCUGGUUGCCAAGGGAACCAACAUGGAUUAUAGGAUUAAAACUUUCAAUCCCAUCCUCUGACCUACAGGAAGAGAAGAGGACAGAGGCUGAGACAAUCACCAAUGGCUAACGACUUAGUCAGUGGUACCUAGGUAAUGAAGCCUCCAUAAAAACUCAAAAAUAACAGGGGUGGCAAUCUUCCAGGCUGGUGAACAUGUGAAGGUGUUGGGACAGUAGCACACUCAGAGGCGACCCCCUGCCCCUUCCAUAUACCUCACCCUAUGCAUCUCUCCUGUCUGGCUGUUCCUGAAAUAUACCCUUUUAUAAUGAAUCAGUAAUCUGUCAAGUAAAAUGUUUUCCUGAGUUCUCUGAGUCACUCUAGCAAAUUACUCAAACCUGGGGAGUUCACGGGAGCCUCCAACCUAUGGCCAGUCAGUGGGGAGCACAACCUGGACUUGAGACUGGAUCUGAUGGUAGACAACACUCAGCUGAUGGUACAGAAUGGCUUGAUAAGUGGAAACCCACACAUCUUACUGUACCUAACAGGAGUGUGAGUAGAGGAGACACAAAGGAGAAACGAGUUUUUCUUUACUCGAUAUAUAGUACAGUCUUUUGUAUAUACUGGUAAUUUUUUGGAUGGUAGUCUUUCCCGUUAACAGAUGCUCCAGGAAUAGUGAACAGUCAGUGUGCCUCUCCACUCUCUGAUCUUGGCAAUGCUUCCGCCUAAAGUUCCCUUACUUUGUUUUUGCCUUUAAGCCCAUUCGAUUUUCUUUAAAAAAAUAUUACCAUAAAAUUCUCUUUUCUCACCCAUACAGAUAGUAAGACCAAUCUGGGUCAGCCCAGCACAGUGGUGAGCACAUAAACGGAGCUCAGAAAAUACUGCUGAAUCAAUGAAUGAACUGUCUGACAUUCUCUCUUAAAUCUUGAUAAGUAUUUACAUACCAGAGAGGCUUGAAUCCAUUUUAAGGGCUAAAGGAAACUUGAGGCUCACUAGUCCAACUCUCUCAUUUUAAAGAUGAAAGAUUAAAUUUAAGAGAAAGGAGAGGAGUUCCCAUUGUGGCUCAGUGGUUCACGAAUCCGUCUAGGAACCAUGAGGUUGCAGGUUCAAUCCCUGCCUUGCUCAGUGGGUUAGGAUCCAGCGUUGCGGUGAGCUGUGGUGUAGGCCAGCAGCUAGAGCUCUGAUUAGACCCCUAGCCUG
rnacentral:lncRNA from 1 species